rnacentral:misc_RNA from 1 species
AGGUGAACCUGCGGAAGGAUCAUUAACGAGUUAGGGUCUUCUAGGCCCGACCUCCCAACCCUUUGUUUAUCGAACCUCUGUUGCUUCGGCGGACCCGUCUCACGACCGCCGGAGGACCGCUGAAAGGCGUCCUCUGGCCAGCGUCCGCCGAUAGCCAAACAUUUAACAUUCUGAAUGAAUCGUGUCUUCUGUCUAAGUCCAUGAUUAAAUAAAAAGCAAAACUUUCAACAACGGAUCUCUUGGUUCUGG